rnacentral:lncRNA from 1 species
UCACUCAUUAGCAAAAUCAUCAUUACAAACAUACAAAAUAACUAAAUCCCUAUACAUGCCAUAACUCAAACGUGUUUCGAUAUAAAAUACCGAGCAGUUGUAGUUGAUAGUGUGGACGAUCUCCGACUUCUUUAGGAUCCUUGAAGUAGCUUUGCAAUACUAUAAGAGAAAGAGAAAUAAAAGAAGUAAGCAUAAAGCUUAGUAAGUUUACUAGCAAAUAAAUAACAAUAUUUAACUUAAAUAAUUAAACUCAAUGUCUAUAUCUCUAGUUUACUCUUUAAUUAAUCUCAUACUAGUUCUCUUACUUGUUUACUUAGAAUACUUGUGUGCAUAACUUACUCAAUCCUUGCUGCAUCGUUGAACAUCAAUUGAUAGUAUAAUAAGUUCUUAAGUCUUACAACUUACCUGAGCUUGCCAUUUAUGCUUUAAACUGAACUUUCAUGAACAUGAUUCGUUUACAAGCCCGUUGAGCUACAUUGGAAUAAUAAGGAUACUCGGGUCUCUUCUGAUAAUAACAUGCCAAAGCCAUGUCCCAGACAUGGUCUUACAUGGGAUGUUCUCGUGAUGGUGCCCAUGCCAUGUCCCAGACAUGGUCUUAUAGGGGACCUCUCAUCUCGGUGCCAACGCCAUGUCCCAGACAUGGUCUUACAUGGGACCUCUCGUCUCGGUGCCCAUGCCAUGUCCCGGACAUGGUCUUACAGGGGACCUCUCAUGAUCUUAAGGAUGCCAAUGCCAUGUCCCAGACAUGGUCUUACAUGGGAUCUCUUUACCCAAAUGUCAUGACAUUCGUAUCCAGUACCAUCCUUAUGUAUCAACGGGACUUUUAAAUUUUAAUUCUCUAUCAUUUCAUGCUUGGAUCAUCAUCAAAUAAAUUCAUAAAAUAAAUUCAUAAUUGCUGGAAAUUAACAGAAUUAAUAAUAAAUAUUGAAAUAUUGCAUUUAUUUACCGUAAACUUACCUCGGUACCAAUUAUAGCCAAAUUCACCAACUUAGUCUUCAACUUUAUUCUUCCCUUUGUCUAACCUCGAGUUUCGUACUUCUUGAUCUAAAAUAGUAAAUUUAACUUAUUUAAUAAUCACAUUCAUUAAAACAGCCCUCGACUCUAACUUUUUUAAAAUUACAAUUUUGCCCCUAAACUUUUACAUAAUUACAUUUUUGCCCCCAAGGCUCGGAAAUUAAACUUCAUCUCUUAUUCUUAUGUUUUAUAACAUUCUGAACAUUUUUUCCUUCUAUGGAAACAUCAAAUUCUCACUCUAACAUGUACUUAUGAACAUUAGGUAUUUUUACCGAUUAUGUCGUUUUACUCGUUUUCACUUAAAAUCGCUUAGCAAAAGUUGUUUAACAUAAUUUCUAGCUACAUAUUCUAUCAUAAAACAUCAAAAUAAACACUUUUCACCUAUGGGUAUUUUUCCAAAUAUAAACCCUAGGUUAAAUUAUUGCUAAAAUAAGCUAAAUUAAGUUACCGGGAUCUCAAAAACGUAAAGAACAUUAAAAACGGGGCUUGGGAUCACUUACUAUGGAGCUUGGAAGCUUGAAAACCCUAACUAUGGCUUCCCCCCUUUCUGAUUUCGUUCAUAUGAAGAAGAUGAUGAUUUUUGUCAUCUUUUUCCCUUUUAAUUCAUUUUAAUUACUAGAUUACCAAAUUGCCCCUACUUAAAAAUUUUCUAUUUCACUUAUCUCAUGUCCAUUUUUGUCUACCAAGUUACCAAUGGUAUAAUUACCAUAUAAGGACCUCCAAUUUAAAGUUUCAUAACAAUUGGACACCUCUAACAUGUAGAACUCAACUUUUGCACUUUUUACAAUUUAGUCCUUUUGACUAAAUUGAGUGCCCAAACGUCGAAAUUUUCGAGCGAAAUUUUCAAAAAAUUAUUUUGUGAAAUUGUAGCCCAUAAAAAUAUAAGAAAAAUAAAAUUUUUAUCAUCGGAUUUGUGGUUCCGAAACCACUGUUCCGAUAACCUCAAAUUUGGGCCAUUACACCCAGCUUCCAUUCACUUUAACCUAUAAUGAAAUUAUCUUUUAAAACACUAAGUAAGUUCUUUUUCUGAAUCAACAAUAUAAAAUGUUUUGAACGCUUCGAUGUGGCAUGUCGGAUCCAGUCAUAAAGUCUGGGCCGGAUUUGGGGUGUUACAGUAAGUAAACAAACUUAUAAUAAAUAAAAAGCAUAAAAUAGUAAUAAUGGUAUUAACAAAAUACAUAUAGAUAUAAGUACAAUAACAAUAAUGGUAAUAAAAAAUAAAAAUAAUUGUAAUAAUAAUAGGUAUAAUACAUAAAAUAUAAACAUAAAUAUAAAGAGAGAAAUAAAAUUAGAUAAGACGAAUAUAAAUUAAGAUAUAAUAGCAAUAAUAGCAAUAAUAAUAAAUAUUGAUAAUAAACAAUAAUAAAAGGAAUAAAAAUAAUAGUAAUAAUAAGAAUAUUUAAUAAUAGUAAUAAUAACAACAAUAUAAUAUAUACACGAAAAGUACUGAUAAUAGCGCAAAUAAUAACAAAAAUAAUAAAAUUAACUAAUUUAACAGUAAAAUAGUUAAAUAAUGAAAAAGGGAUUAAAUUGAGGACUGAAACAAAUUAUUAAGUACAAAUUUAGAUAAACAAAAAUGAUUGCAAACUGAAUUAAAAGUGGAAGGACUUAUUUGGCAAAUAACCCACAUAGCAAAAACGCGCGGAUCUUAGGUAAGGCGGGUCGGGUCGCACGGGUAUGGCCAUUGCUCCGGCGAGGUUUCAGUCCGGUCGCCACCGUGGACCACCGCCGUCGCCGCCGUCGCCGGCCACCGCACACGGUGGCCUGAAAAUAUAAAAGGUACGCUUUUUUUAUAUAUUUUUUAAAAUUUUUUUGAUAUAAUCUAAUAUAUUGUAUAGGAAAAGAUAGAUUAAAAAAUAGAGAAAAAAGAAAAAAAAAAGAAGAAAAGAAAAAAAAACCUUAGCCCGAUUUUGAACCUCCUUUCUAUUUCAAUUGCUUUCGUUGUUCUUUUUGCUUUGAAUUGCUGCUGUUUUUAUUCAAUGUCUCUCCUUUGUAUUGAUGAAGAAAAAAAAAAGGGUCCUUUUACAUUGUGUUUUGAUGGCUUUUAUAGCCUUGUUACAUGAUUUAUUUUUUAUUAUCUUUCUUUUCUCUUCCUUUUGUAAGUGCAAGUGGAGUGGUGGCAUAGUGGUG